rnacentral:rRNA from 1 species
CCCUUAGAUGUUCUGGGCGGCCCGCGCACUACAAUGGCGUGUGCAGCGAGUGCCGAAGUAGAGUUUUCCGAGGUAUUCUUGCAAUGCUCGUUUUGAUGGGGAUAGACCCGUGCAACUGUUGGUUUUGAACGAGGAAUUCCUUGUAAGCAUGGUUUAUCAUCCGACGCUGAAUGCGUCCCUGCCCUUUGUACACACCGCCCGUCGCUCCUACCGAUGAGUCGUCCGGUGAAGUUCGUAGACCUCGUGAUCGCGGAUCACUGGGGGAAGCAAAAUGAACCUCGCGGUUUAGAGGAAGGAGAAGUCGUAACA